AGGGAAUCUUCCGCAAUGGACGAAAGUCUGACGGAGCAACGCCGCGUGAACGAUGAAGGUUUUCGGAUCGUAAAGUUCUGUUGUUAGGGAAGAACCGCCGGGAUAACCUCCCGGUCUGACGGUACCUAACGAGAAAGCCCCGGCUAACUACGUGCCAGCAGCCGCGGUAAUACGUAGGGGGCAAGCGUUGUCCGGAAUUAUUGGGCGUAAAGCGCGCGCAGGCGGCUUCUUAAGUCAGGUGUGAAAGCCCACGGCUCAACCGUGGAGGGCCAUCUGAAACUGGGGAACUUGAGUGCAGGAGAGGAGAGCGGAAUUCCACGUGUAGCGGUGAAAUGCGUAGAGAUGUGGAGGAACACCCGUGGCGAAGGCGGCUCUCUGGCCUGUAACUGACGCUGAGGCAUGAAAGCGUGGGGAGCAAAC
rnacentral:rRNA from 1 species